rnacentral:rRNA from 1 species
UACGUAGGGGGCAAGCGUUGUCCGGAUUUAUUGGGCGUAAAGAGCGUGUAGGCGGCUAGGUAGGUCCGUUGUGAAAACUCGAGGCUCAACCUCGAGACGCCGAUGGAAACCAUCUAGCUAGAGUCCGGAAGAGGAGAGUGGAAUUCCUGGUGUAGCGGUGAAAUGCGCAGAUAUCAGGAAGAACACCCGUGGCUAAGGCGGCUCUCUAGUACGGUACUGACGCUGAGGCACGAAGGUCAGGGGAGCAAACGGG